CCUACGGGGUGCAGCAGUGAGGAAUAUUGGUCAAUGGGCUUACGCCUGAACCAGCCAAGUCGCGUGAGGGAAGACUGCCCUAUGGGUUGUAAACCUCUUUUGUCAGGGAGCAACGCCGGCUACGUGUAGCCGGACUGAGAGUACCUGAAGAAAAAGCAUCGGCUAACUCCGUGCCAGCAGCCGCGGUAAUACGGAGGAUGCGAGCGUUAUCCGGAUUUAUGGGGUUUAAAGGGUGCGUAGGCGGAAUGCCAAGUCAGCGGUAAAAUCGCGGGGCUCAACCUCGCUCCGCCGUUGAAACUGGCGUUCUUGAGUGGGCGAGAAGUAUGCGGAAUGCGUGGUGUAGCGGUGAAAUGCAUAGAUAUCACGCAGAACUCCGAUUGCGAAGGCAGCAUACCGGCGCCCAACUGACGCUGAAGCACGAAAGCGUGGGUAUCGAACAGGAUUAGAUACCCCAGUAGUC
rnacentral:rRNA from 1 species